GCUGGGCACAGUGGUGUAUGCCUGUAAUCCCAGCAGCUUGGGAGGCUGAGGCAGGAGAAUCGUGAGUUCAAAGCCAGCCUCAG
rnacentral:sRNA from 1 species